rnacentral:lncRNA from 1 species
CCGCAGAUGCAGCCUGUGCCGCUCCCGCCUCCGGCCCUCAGAAGACCGCUCGUUUCGCCGCCGGAGCCGCGACUGCCCCCAGGCCGCCUCCUCCGCCCGGCCGUGGUUAGACCAGGCGGGCUGCGCGCGCAGUGCGGAGGGUCCCGUUUCCCAACGAUCAGGCUAGAACGCGGCCCGGAACGCAGCCUCAGGCGGCUCCGGAGGCAGCCCGGGGUCCUGAUUAACGCGAGCGCAGCCCGGCAGUGGCGCGGGCAGCAUGUCAGGGUCCUGAGUCGGACUCGGCGCGCUGCCUGGCGCGACUCGCUCUUCGGGUGCGCCGCCCCAAGUUGUUUCUUCGCCGCUGGAGAGCGAGAGCCGGCUCCUGGGUCACCCAGACUGUGUGCCAUCCGGAAGCCAGCAGAGCUGGGGCCAUAGUGCUUGACUGACAGGGGCUGAGGAUGAAUACGGCGGCCAGAAAGCCUAGCUCUGCCUCCUGUUGUUAAUGGAGAUUUUCUCUGGAAUACAGGCAGAAUGCCGAUACCAUGCUGACGGAUAACGCGAAAGCCUACCUAGCACUGGGAUUAAAGAUGUGAGCCACCAUGCCAGGCUGCUGAUUAUAA